AAGUGCUUUAGCUGGGGUCUCUCCGCUGUGAGUCUAAAACGCGUUUGGAAUUCUUUCUUUCCAUCCCUCCUCCUAUACUCUCUCAAGGCUUCAUGCUACCGUUGCUCUUAAUGCCACAAGGAAAGAGAUGAGUGCCGAGGAUCAGUUUAUUGGGUAAUUGAUCUAUUUAUAGGUUUGGUGAGAUUGGGAAUUUCUAGGUGAGCAACACUUAAGGGUGGUGUAAAACACAGCUGUGGGUUUGGAAGAGAGGAAAUAUAUAACAGGUUUGUACCUGUGACCAUUUAGUAUGCUCCGCACCUGUGCCCUCCACUUCCCACCUGACGCCAGGAAAACACUCUGCCCCUCACUUCGAAGGCCGGGGACCCCGGGAUCUCUGAGGCUCUGGAAACACCUUCUUGCCUCCCUGUAAUUAGAUGUGGUGGGAGACUAAGUCUAUACAUCGCAGAAGAAGAAAUUAAUGGAGAGCUUACUGGUUUCAGCCUGAGUCAACAGUCAACACAAAAAUGUAAGAGGAAAAAACAAAGUAACCCUGAAAAUUGUCUGGGUUAGCCUUCCUGACAUAGCCUAAUCAAAGACAUCUUAUUGCAAAGACAUCCUGUCUCCAUUAAUUAAUCUCAAAAACAGAAGAACGAAUUCUUGCCCAGAAAUCUCUCAGAGUUGCUGUGAAGAUCAAGCAAGAUUAUGCAUGGGGACAGCACCUUACAUUGUAAAGUGCUGUGCCAAGGUCAGAUGUCAUUAUUGGAGUGGCUAAAUAAAUUGGGCUAUUACGAACAUCACUCUUUGUCUCCUCUUGUGUAGACACAAAGUAAACAGAUUGCUAUUAGCAGACAGUUAGAUAAGGCUGUCGUAGGCUUUGAAAUGAAAGUAAUGAUACAUUUCUUCCUUAAGGUAGCCUUCUGCCCAUCGUGUGCUACCCAGCCAAGAACUGUGAUUUCUUAAACCCUAGCUCCGUCUAGUGGUUCUUUGUUCUAUUACAAAUGAGAUAACAGUGGCUGAAGAGAACUUGACUCUGAAAUGUGUUUGGUACUGAGCUGAGCCGGUUUGUUGCCUAUCCACUUCAUUUUAAUAAGUUUAUUUAAAUAAGGUUUUUAAGGUUGUGUUAUUGCACAAACAUGCCAAAGGAAGAUUUUUCAUGACAAUAUUAAAAACCCAUCAAGAAACCUCAUAAUCCUGCUUGUGAAAGGAAGAUAAAAUAAUGCAGAGGGGAAAACUAUCAUAGAGAAUUAAUAUAGUUUCUCAGGUUUUAAUGAGCUUACAUGUUCUACAGCUUAGAUAAAAAAGGAAACAGAUGAUUUUAGUUUGAGAUGAGAGAUGUUAAAGCCCUGGUGGGUUACCAGAUAAGAAAAAGAAAUAAGGAGAUGUCUUCCAUUUUAAGUGUACUACUGAAGUGGAUCUCAACAUGUACUGUGCUUGUGUGUCUGUGUG